rnacentral:rRNA from 1 species
GACGAACGCUGGCGGCGUGCCUAAUACAUGCAAGUAGAACGCUGAAGAGAGGAGCUUACUCUUCUUGGAUGAGUUGCGAACGGGUGAGUAACGCGUAGGUAACCUGCCUUGUAGCGGGGGAUAACUAUUGGAGACGAUAGCUAAUACCGCAUAACAAUGGAUGACACAUGUCAUUUAUUUGAAAGGGGCAAUUGCUCCACUACAAGAUGGACCUGCGUUGUAUUAGCUAGUAGGUGAGGUAAUGGCUCACCUAGGCGACGAUACAUAGCCGACCUGAGAGGGUGAUCGGCCACACUGGGACUGAGACACGGCCCAGACUCCUACGGGAGGCAGCAGUAGGGAAUCUUCGGCAAUGGGGGCAACCCUGACCGAGCAACGCCGCGUGAGUGAAGAAGGUUUUCGGAUCGUAAAGCUCUGUUGUAAGUCAAGAACGGGUGUUAGAGUGGAAAGUUCACACUGUGACGGUAGCUUACCAGAAAGGGACGGCUAACUACGUG